rnacentral:rRNA from 1 species
AUUGAACGCUGGCGGCGUGCUUAACACAUGCAAGUCGAUCGGUAACGCGGGGGCAACCCUGGCGACGAGAGGCGGACGGGUGAGGAACGCUUGGGAAUCUGCCCUUCAGCGGGGGACAACCCGGGGAAACCCGGGCUAAUACCGCAUACGCUCCACGGAGGAAAGCCGGGGACCGCAAGGCCUGGCACUGAAGGAUGAGCCCAAGUCGGAUUAGCUAGUUGGCGGGGUAACGGCCCACCAAGGCGACGAUCCGUAGCUGGUCUGAGAGGACGAUCAGCCACACUGGGACUGAGACACGGCCCAGACUCCUACGGGAGGCAGCAGUGGGGAAUAUUGGACAAUGGGCGAAAGCCUGAUCCAGCGACGCCGCGUGGGUGAAGAAGGCCUGCGGGUUGUAAAGCCCUUUCGGUAGGGACGAAAGCCCUCGACCUAACACGUCGGGGGGUUGACUUAACCUACAAAAGAAGCACCGGCUAACUCUGUGCCAGCCGCCGCCGUAACAC